rnacentral:lncRNA from 1 species
UUGGCAGUAAUUCAACAAACAUUUUAUUAACCUCUACUAAACCAUAUUUAUUAUUUAUGGCCAAAUCACAGAAUCCUGAAGUUAGAGACUCCAAGGAGAAAAUGACACUCCUGGCUGAGAAUGACUUCUGUCUCACAGCGCCAGUGCAUCUUCUCCAGUUCCUCCAAUUGAUACCAGCGAAGAUGCACCUAAAGAUGGAAACUCAGUAGUAUCAAUGCCCAAAAUACAUAAUCUGGGGGGAAAACACCACUAGUACCUCAAAAGGCAGACUCCAGGUUUGAAUUCUGGCUCUACUACAGAAUAGCCGGUGACCUUAAUUUUCUUACCUGGAAAAUAGAGAUAAUAAGGGAUGAUUUCAUAGUCCUGAGGAUUUGAGGAGGUAAUGCCUGUAAGGCUCUCAGUACCAUGCAUGGCAUUUAAUAAGAAGUCAGUAAAUGUCAGCUACUAGUAGUAUAGUUUCAUGGUUGUUGUUGUUAGUAUAAAACAGGAUUUUCCCCAUUGUCCUGGAAUUGCAGCAAAUGCAUAAACUGAUGGCACAAAAUGUUCUAGGUUUCUUGUCCUUUGGCCUCUUCCUCUUUCCUACUUGAAUCUCUGCAUGAGAAAGCAGCUCUGGAGUUUCAACUCUAGUCUGACUUAGGUGUAGGAGUGAAACAGGGCUUUGAAUUGUACAAAAGAUUAAAAUUAGGCCGGGCGCAGUGGCUCAUGCCUGUAAUCCCAGCACUUUGGGAGGCCGAGGCGGGUGGAUCACCUGUGGUCAGGAGUUCGAGACCAGCCUGGCCAACAUGGUGAAACCCCUUCUCUACUAAAAACACAAAAAUUAGCUGGGCGUGGUGGUAGGUGCCUGUAAUCCCAACUACUCGGGAGGGUGAGGCAGGAGAAUCGCUUGAACCCGGGAGGCGGAGGUUGCAGUGAGCCAAGAUUGCGCCACUGCACUCCAGCCUGGGCGACAAGAGCGAAACUCUGUCUCAAAAAAAAAAAAAAAAAAAGAUUAAAAUUAAACAUGAGCAAGGCUUAACUAUCAGAAUAAAUGUUUUGAUAAAGAAAAGUGACUGAAAAACAUUACAGAAUCUAAGCAAAAUGUCAUUAAGGGAGCCAUCAUCCAGUAGCACAAAUGGGAUUCACAAUCAACUCUGGCUUUAUUUCAUGUAACAGAAGCAGCCUGAGAAAAAGCAUAAAGGAUUCCAUAUGUUUCCACAAUGAGCCCACUGACUCAGAUGAUCAAGCCGAUAUCAGUGAGGAAAAUGGAGUACUAUCCCUCGUGACCCAUGAGAAAUUGCUCUAUAAAAACAAAUUUAUCCUAUAGUAGUCCUCCUCAUCAUCCUCUUGCAACCAAGCAGGUAAUACAAUAAAAAUACAAAAAAAAAAAUUAUGGCUCAUAAAUUAGAGAAGAAGCUGUGAUGCUGUAUGACAUCUGCAGCACACAUUCAUAAAGCACUGGGGUAGGGGUCAAUGAAUGAGCCUCAACAGAAGUGCUCUCUAGUCAUUGUACUUCUCCGUGCCCUCUCUUGGCUCAAACUGCCAGAGAUAAACACAUAAUGAAGAAAAGGAGAGGCAACUGCAACUGCAUUACUGUUUGAAAAGUAAUGGAGGCUCCUGUAAC